rnacentral:snRNA from 1 species
AUCACUUCUCGGCCUUUUGGCUAAGAUCAAGUGUAGAAAUUUAAGAAACAGAAAAUUAAAUCAAUGUUGAGUAGUCACAAGAAUGUGUUCCCUUUAUACUUCCUCAAGUUGGAGAACACCCCAA